CACAAUUUCAAUAGGAAAAAAACCCCUUUAACAUUACAUCCCAAUAACAUAACAAAUACUGCACUUCUUUAUUUCAUCCACAAACCCUAACCCUAAAAAAAUUCAUUCAUCCGCCAUGGCCAAAACUCGAAAGUCUCGUGCUUCCCAACAAGAACACCAAAACGACGCCGUUCCAACCCAAGAUCCACAGCAACAAGACGAACCCAUGGAUGAAAAUCCCCCCGUUGAAGAACAACCAGAAGAAGAACACCAAAACGACGACGUUGAAGAAGAAGAGGAAGAAGAAGAAGAGGAGGAAGAAGAAGAGGACGAAAACGACGGCGUUGAAGAGACCGAAAAGGUCAAAUCUGAAAGCAACAACAACGGUGCCGCGGAAGACGAAGGCGAGGAUGAGGAGCCAGUUGAGAAGCUUCUAGAACCUUUUUCAAAGCAACAGUUAGUUGUACUGAUGAAAGAAGCUGUAUCUAAACAUCCUGAUUUAAUUCCAAGUGUGGAAAACGUGGCAGACGCCGAUCCGGCUCAUCGGAAAAUAUUCGUGCACGGUUUGGGUUGGGAUACGACUACUGAAACCUUAAUUAGCGAGUAUUCCAAGUACGGUGAGAUUGAGGAUUGUAAAGCGGUUGUUGAUAAGGCAUCUGGGAAGUCUAAAGGGUAUGGUUUUAUAUUGUUUAAGCAUCGAAUUGGGGCCCGAAAGGCGUUAAAGCAACCGCAGAAGAAGAUUGGGAACAGGGUUACUAGUUGUCAGUUGGCCUCUGCUGGACCGGUUCCUCCUGCUAGUGCUGCCGCAGCUGCUGCACAGGGCGGUGAGAAAGUUAGUGAGUAUACGCAGCGGAAGAUAUUUGUGAGUAAUGUGGCUGCAGAGAUUGAUCCUGGGAAGCUGACUGAGUUUUUUUCCAAGUUUGGGGAAAUUGAGGAAGGACCGUUGGGAUUGGAUAAGCAGACUGGGAAGCCGAAAGGGUUUGCGUUGUUUGUUUAUAGGAAUGUGGAGAGUGCUAAGAAGGCGUUGGAAGAGCCGAAAAAGGUUUUUGAAGGGUAUACGUUGAAUGUUGUGAAAGCGGUUGAUGGGCCUAAGCCGGGUAAAGUGUUUGGACAGAGUCAGGGACAGUUUGGUAGUGGACACGGUCAUCAUGUGGCGAAAAAGCCUAAGUUUGGACAUGGGCAUGGACACGGACAGGGGCAUUUGAUGGCCCCGUCUGGACCGCCUGUUGGGUUUAAUCCAGGUGUUGUUCCUCCGCCUGCAUUGACUCCUGUUUUGGGACAGGCGUUGAGUGCGUUGCUUAAUCAGGGAGGUGGAUUAGGACUUGGGAAUCUAUUUGGUGGGCUUGGAAACCCGCAGGGGAUGCCGCCUUCUGGAUAUCAGGGCGGUGGUUACCAGCAAGGGGGGUAUGGCAACCCACAAGGAGGAAAUAGGUCUCAACAGGGUGGUGGAUCUUACAUGGGUCAGGGUCGAUAAAUUCAACCAUAGAUGCAUCAAUCUUUUUGUUUUGGACUCUGCUGAUUCUUCUGAAGUUCCAGCCAGUCAUGCAAAUGCAGUCUUUUACAUAUGUAGCAAAAAAAAAAAAGUCUUGAUUUGCCUAGGAGAAUAAAAUCUUUGUAAUUUUCUUUUCUACUUGGUUUUAGGGUCUAUUUUAAAAACUUUGUAGUAUUCUAGUUCAAUGUUUCCAAACAAACUUUGAGUUGCUGGUUGGCCUUUCUAUGAUAAAACCCAUGACUGGUAUUUUAAAAUGUUUGACGCACUUCUUUAAAACCUUGUGAAUUUUUUUAUUCUUACUAUGUGAGUGGAUCACCUUUACUUUUGUUGGCGACUACAGAAGCCUUUUAUAAGAUUUUAUUGUUUUGCUGGCUUAUUAUCUAUUGGGCAGAUGUUUGUUUGGUUGAUUUGGCCACUCUUGAAUCAUCCAACAUAGUGGCUGCUUCAGGUUUUGCUAACCUCCGAGGUGGCCGAGUGGUUAACAACUUGGAUAUCUUUGUACAAAGUUAGGUUCGAAUCUUCGCUAGGUAUAAUCUUGGAGGUGGCCAGGGAAAGGUUUGAAAACAUUUAGUCGUUCAUGGGAUACCAAGUUAGGCCGCCUACAUCUGAGUCAAAAACACCUUGCCUUUGCUGGGUUACCUGAGAACCACCUCCAUGGUGGCAUGGUGGUUAACAACUUAUAAAUAAGUCAAAAAAGACUUGCCUGCCUACUAGAAACAACAUAGUAUAACUUAAAUGAAUGGCUAAAUAUGUUAAUGUUUUACAUUUCAACGAGUGUAUGAUGUUUUCCUGUUACUGUAUGGUAGAAUUGGUUUGGUUAUUUAAUAUAUUGAUCAAUUGAUGUCUUGUAGCUUCAAAUUGUGACUUCAAUACCCCUUCAGAAAUGGCUUGGGAAUCUACAGGCCAAUUGCAUCAAAAUGUCUAUAUAUGGGGAGGGGAUUCAGUAGCCCUAUAUAUGACCAUGUCACGAUAUUUAUCCAAUUUUAUAGUCUCCAUGGAGCUAAACUCUUUUAAAGUAGAGCAAUAUAAUGGUUUUGCAUUAAAUAGAUGCUUGGACAAUGAUUACGACACUUUCUAAUUGAACUGCAUUAAAACAAACGGGUCAACUCUUUUCCACAGAUUUAGUGAAGUGGGCUCAAAACAAACAUAAUUAACAAAAAUAAUGCGUCAAGCACAUUUGAUAUCUAUCUACCUUACUCAUUAGUAAAUUUAAAUUACAGCCAGCGCCAGGAUUUCUACUUUUGACUAGCAGCAAUAGUCAAACACUAAACUUGAAGGAUUAAUUCAUUUAAUCAUCAAAGGAUAAGGUUGAUUAAAGUGGCAGGGAAGCUUAAUAGCUAUAAAGCACCUAGGCGGUGAAGAUACUGAGAAACAUGUUAAGCUAGAACAAGGGGGAAUAGCUGGGAGUUCGGCUAAAUGUUGGUGUCGGCGGGCGUUUCUUCCGAGACCAACCAGAUGUCUGCACUUGAGACUCGAUGGCCGACCAUAUUUAAUCUUGUUGGUGGGGUUGAUCUGAAAGCAAUGGAAAGGUGGCAGUUGAGGACCUGCCGUUUUGCGUGCAGAUGAUAAUGCCUCAUUUUUGUUGAGACCAACAAAUUGACAAAGAUACACUACAUGUUCAGACCAACAUAUGGACGAAGACCACAAUAGACUGAAGCUGACCCGGACAUUUGGGCAUAAGAAGUACCAUGUAAUGUUACAAGUUAGAGUUUUAGUGUAUCAACUAUAUUGUGUAAUCAGUGAGCUACUAUCUAGCGAUUCCACCUUUGAAGGUGGUUUGGGAUUUACAAUUUUUCAGGUGCUUGCAGCUUAUUGCACUUUAAUAAAAUGAGAUAAGCACCACCAUCUGCAAUGGUUAGGUUAA